rnacentral:rRNA from 1 species
UACGUAGGGUGCGAGCGUUAAUCGGAAUUACUGGGCGUAAAGUGUGCGCAGGCGGCUUCGCAAGUCGAGUGUGAAAUCCCCCGAGCUUAACUUGGGAAUUGCGCUCGAAACUACGGAGCUGGAGUGUGGCAGAGGAAGGUGGAAUUCCACGUGUAGCGGUGAAAUGCGUAGAGAUGUGGAGGAACACCGAUGGCGAAGGCAGCCUUCUGGGCCAACACUGACGCUCAUGCACGAAAGCGUGGGAGCAAACAGG